rnacentral:rRNA from 1 species
AUGGUCAACACCCCCGUUCUUGCUCUGCCGGACUUCUCACGCCCCUUCUGCAUCGAGACCGACGCGUGCGACACCGGCGUGGGAGCCGUGCUGGUCCAGGAUGGCCACCCCGUGGCCUAUCUCAGCAAGGCCUUGGGGGUGCGCAAUCAGCUCCUCUCCAUCUAUGAGAAGGAGUUUCUCGCUGUCAUCAUGGCCGUCGAGAAGUGGCGACAUUACCUCCAACGCGCUCCAUUUGUCAUCAUCACCGACCACAAGAGUCUAUGCAGCCUCGGUGACCAACAGUUGGACACAGAGCUGCAACGUAAAGCCAUGUCAAAGCUAGUCGGACUCCAGUUCUCCUUCAAGUACCGGCGUGGAGUCGAAAAUGGCGCAGCGGAUGCGCUCUCGCGCGUCGGCCAUCUCCUCGCUCUCGACGCCCUGUCAACGUGCCAAUCGCAAUGGUUACAGGAGGUGGCCAAUUCCUACGAGACAGAUGCAGAUGCCCAAGAUCUUCUCCAACGAUUGGCCCUCUACAGUCCGGAUGAGCAGGGGUAUGAGCUCCGUCAAGGCGUCAUCCGCUUCCACAACAAGCUCUGGAUUGGCGCCAAUUCGGCCCUGCAAACCAAGCUCGUCACCGCCUUCCACGCCAGCGCGGUGGGGGGCCACUCGGGCGCGACAGCCACAUAUUAG